UGGGGAAUAUUGGACAAUGGGGGCAACCCUGAUCCAGCAAUGCCGCGUGUGUGAAGAAGGCCUGAGGGUUGUAAAGCACUUUCAGUGGGGAGGAGGUCUUAUGGGUUAAGAGCUAAUAAGAUGGACGUUACCCACAGAAGAAGCACCGGCUAACUCCGUGCCAGCAGCCGCGGUAAUACGGAGGGUGCAAGCGUUAAUCGGAAUUGCUGGGCGUAAAGAGUGCGUAGGUGGUUGACUAAGUUAUCUGUGAAAUCCCCGGGCUUAACCUGGGCAGGUCAGAUGAUACUGGUUGACUCGAGUAUGGGAGAGGGUAGUGGAAUUUCCGGUGUAGCGGUGAAAUGCGUAGAGAUCGGAAGGAACACCAGUGGCGAAGGCGGCUACCUGGCCUAAUACUGACACUGAGGCACGAAAGCGUGGGGAGCAAACAGG
rnacentral:rRNA from 1 species